rnacentral:rRNA from 1 species
UAAGCGGAGGAAAAGAAACCAACAGGGAUUGCCUCAGUAGCGGCGAGUGAAGCGGCAAAAGCUCAAAUUUGAAAUCUGGCGUCUUUGGCGUCCGAGUUGUAAUUUGAAGAAGGUAUCUUUGGGCCCGGCUCUUGUCUAUGUUCCUUGGAACAGGACGUCACAGAGGGUGAGAAUCCCGUGCGAUGAGAUGACCCGGGUCUGUGUAAAGUUCCUUCGACGAGUCGAGUUGUUUGGGAAUGCAGCUCUAAGUGGGUGGUAAAUUCCAUCUAAAGCUAAAUAUUGGCGAGAGACCGAUAGCGAACAAGUACAGUGAUGGAAAGAUGAAAAGAACUUUGAAAAGAGAGUGAAAAAGUACGUGAAAUUGUUGAAAGGGAAGGGCUUGAGAUCAGACUUGGUAUUUUGCAUGCUGCUCUCUCGGGGGCGGCCGCUGCGGUUUACCGGGCCAGCAUCGGUUUGGAGCGGCAGGAUAAUGGCGGAGGAAUGUGGCACGGCUUCUGCUGUGUGUUAUAGCCUCUGACGAUACUGCCAGCCUAGACCGAGGACUGCGGUUUUUACCUAGGAUGUUGGCAUAAUGAUCUUAAGUCGCCCGUCUU